CUGCUUUUGUAUUUUUUCCACGAUGAUAUGCUAACAUGAAGUACUGGCAUGUACUGCCAUGAAUUGGGAAGAUCCAUGGCAGUUGUAUUAAAGUCACUCGUGAAUAAAACAAUACAAUCAACACUUUUUUAUGGAUGAUCGUGGCUUUAGAGGCGAUGCUGGAAGCAAGGCAAAGGGUGGCAGAAACAGGCGUGAUCGAGGUUUUCGGGAUCCAAGGGAUAGAAGAGCUAGGCCAAGUCAAACAAAACCUGCAGUUGAGCAAUUUCUACCGGCAGCUCAACAAGCACAGAUGAAAACGCCAAUUAUUUUAACCAAAACAACCAACGGCAAAGUGAGUAUUUUCUUGGAUGUUUAAUCGUCGUGGGGAAUUUUGUCUUUAAUUAAAUACUCAUGAGCAACAUUUUACAGUCAUGCCAAUAGAAGCGUUUCGAAAAAUGGGUAUUCCAUUUAAUAUCCGUACCCCCCUGUCGAGGAUCCCUGGAAUUCUUCAGGGUAAAGGGUUUUGAACUUGGAAUUCUUCAGGGGUAAAGUGUUUUGAGCUUGGAAUUAUGCAGGGGUAAAGGGUUUUGAGCUUGAAAUUCUUCAGGGGUGAAAGGUUUUGAGCUUGGAAUUCUUCAGGGGUAAAGGGUUUUGAGCUUGGAAUUAUUCAGGGUAAAGAGGUUUGAGCUUGGAAUUCUUCAGGGGUUAAAGGUUUUUAGCUUGGAAUUCUUCAGGGAUAAAGGGUUUUGAGCUUGGAAUUUUGGAAUUCUUCAGGGGUGAAAGGUUUUGAGCUUGGAAUUCUUCAGGGGUAAAGGGUUUUGAGCUUGGAAUUUUGGAACCCUUCAGGGGUAAAAGGUUUUGAGCUUGGAAUUCUUGAGGGGUAUAACUAGGCGUAAAAAAAAUACCUGUGGUUCCGGUUCCCGACCGACCCUAUUUUUUUUCUGCCGACCCUAUUAUUUUUCAACGUGAUUGACUGUGCGACCCUAUUUUCUCCAGGUGGUUGCGGGCUGCUCGUACAGUGUGCCAAAAUGCCGUCUGUUGUCACACUAAUAAUUGAACCAAAUUGCCUAAAUUCGUCCAUAGGAAAUACGCAUCUCUAGUUAACAUUGAUGUUGGGACUCUACUGCAAAUCGCCCAGCAAAAAAAUGCCAAAACCGUGAAAAAAAUAUUCAAAAAAAAAUUUGUUUCCAACCUACCAACCCUAAUUUUUUCACGAUAUGAAACCGGAACCAGGGACGCCGGAACGAUAAUAGGGCAAAGGGGGGCGGACGCACACCAAGGGCACCUUUACUGAAAAAUUUUUUUUCACUGCAAAAUUUUUUGGCGACGGGGGGGGGGGGGGAUCAAAAAAAUUUUCCGGACAUACAAAAAUUUUCCGUGAAGCCAAAAAAUUUUCCGGAUAUCUUAAAUUUUCCCCAUUUCUUCAAAAUAUUUUUCUAAAUUCCAAAAAUUUCCAAAAAUUUUUAUAAAUAUAAACUAUGAAUUACCUGAAUCUCGUGAUUUUCCUACAAAAAGCAUCGUUGAAAAUGUGAUUUAUCACAUAUUAUUUUACAACUGAAAGGGCACUUCCUGCCCCCCCUGCCCCCCUAGCAAAAGGCAAGGGGGGCAGCCGCCCCCCCUGCCCUCCCAGUUCCGGCGUUCCUGACCGGAACCACAGGUAUUUUUUUUUACGCCCUAUGAAAAACAUGUAUCCUCAACAGGGAGGGGGUACGGAUAUUAAAUGGAAUAGCCCAAUGUUGACCAGUUCAUUUCCUAACUUCGAGGAGUUCCUCUGAACAAUUCCUCAACAAUUUGAUAAGUUGCUAAAAAAAUUCUUAACUUCCUGUUUCAUUGACCAAUCAAAUUUUAUAUUUUAUUUUUGAGCAAUCUGAUUGGUCAAUAAAACAGGAAGUUAGGAACUUUUUAUGGAACUUAUCAACUUGUUGAGGAAUUGUUCAGAGGAACUCCUCGAAGUUAGGAAAGGAACUGGUCAACAUUUUUUGGAAUGGUUCUAUUGGCACGACUGUAAUAUAGUCCAUGAAAAUUGAUAAUUGGAAAUGCAUUCGAUCAAUCGAAUCAUAACAAUGAAUACUGAUUUUCUUUGGAUAAUCGAUAGCUAAUCAAUAGUUACAGAAAGCUUGGCCAAUUGUAUCAAUUGUCAUCAACUUUUAUUAGGGACAUAUCAGAUCCAGAUACCACUACAGGGUAUUUUCAGGGAUUUUUUAGGGCUGUUAAACGGACCCAAAAACUCAAUCUUGAAUUGAGUUUUGAAACUCAAUUUUCUCACCAAAGUUUCAGUGCAGUAAAAAUGAAGUUGUUUGAGUUAAAUUUCGUGACGGUGGAAAUUUGUUUCCAGUUGGUAGCCGACAAUUAAAAAAAAUGGCUGGAAUUCAUCUCACAACACAAGAAAAACUAUGCAUUCGCCUUUCAAAAUUGAUGAUUUCUAAGGUCUUUAUAUUUUAAAUAGAAAGGUUUUUCACUGGUCGGGCGGGGACACUACCCAAGUUUUUUUUUACUUGGCUUUAUGUACAGUAAAUGCAGAUCAAGAGUGGACAGAUAUUCAUUACUAAUUCACAAAAUGUAAAAUAUUAUAAUAGGAAAUUGAAAUAAUCUUCAAUUAUUUUGAAUUAAUUAUUAAUAGAUCUAAUGUGGCACUAAUUUUUGCUAUUAUCUAAUAGCAAAGCAUUUAAUUCAUUCAUUUAUAAUAAUUUUGAUUAAAUAGGGAACUGAAUCAGGGAAAUCAAUUACAAUCAAGCCAAGGUGAGAUGGAAAGAAAAAUCUUGACUGAAUUGACCAUUUGCGUAAUAGACUAAAUUUUGAUCUCAACAAAAAUUUCAUUACAGCUUGAAAGAGCA